rnacentral:lncRNA from 1 species
UUAUACUCAAAAUUAAACAACUGUAUGCACAGUAGAUCACAUGCUACUACACAGCCUGAUAGCCGAGCUCUAAAUUACAACACAUGUUCAGAAGAUCACACACUAGUGUAUAGUCCUGGGAGCUCGGCUCCGAAACACAACACAUGUAAAGUAGAUCACAUGCUAUUGUACACUCCUGAGAAUCGGAACAUUGGAUUUCUGAAAAUCUAAUUACAUUUCUAUGCUUAAACUAGAAAAGUAAUCUUAAAUCCCACCUAAUAUGAAGAGCUGACAUCUCUAAUUCUGACUAGACAUGAUUCCUCUUGCAUCCAUGAGUCUGUACCUUCUAAUUGUGCGUUGUUUGAAGCUCAAACGAUCGAGUUAUGCUCCAUUUACUUCUUUCCAACAUUGUGAAACUUGCUGGGACAGAAACAAUACGCUAGUCUGCCAACUGCCUCCAUUACACUAACUGAUCUAGAACUUAACUAUAACCAUCCACGAUUUCAGAACUACAGAAGAAACACUUAAGAACAACUAAAUGCACAACAUCCACUUAUCAUUUAGACUUUACAUAUCAGUUACCGAACGCUUUUAACAUUGCGGGACGAUCGCUCUUUUUCUCUAGAGAGUUAGUUCGCCGCCGUCGACCUCUGUCCGUAUUCCGAAGAGCUCCGACAACCUCCAAUCUUCUUAGAAAUGUCCCUCGUCGCCCCUAGCCAUCCUCCACCGCCUCUAGUUGAACAUCGUCGCAUUCAUCAACUCAUUCGCGUUUCUUGCCUCCUCCGAUCAACGGAGUUUGAUCUCCGUCCUCUCAAUCUCAACCUCCAUCGCCACUCGCUUCUCUCUCUCGCAUCCUCAUUGGCGCCGUCAUUAUCAAUCUUUAUCUCCUCACGUUCCUUAAUCGUGGGAG